AGUAGCUUGCUACUUUACCUAGCGGCGGACGGGUGAGUAAUGCUUAGGAAUCUGCCUAUUAGUGGGGGACAACAUCUCGAAAGGGAUGCUAAUACCGCAUACGUCCUACGGGAGAAAGCAGGGGACCUUCGGGCCUUGCGCUAAUAGAUGAGCCUAAGUCGGAUUAGCUAGUUGGUGGGGUAAAGGCCUACCAAGGCGACGAUCUGUAGCGGGUCUGAGAGGAUGAUCCGCCACACUGGGACUGAGACACGGCCCAGACUCCUACGGGAGGCAGCAGUGGGGAAUAUUGGACAAUGGGGGGAACCCUGAUCCAGCCAUGCCGCGUGUGUGAAGAAGGCCUUUUGGUUGUAAAGCACUUUAAGCGAGGAGGAGGCUACCGAGAUUAAUACUCUUGGAUAGUGGACGUUACUCGCAGAAUAAGCACCGGCUAACUCUGUGCCAGCAGCCGCGGUAAUACAGAGGGUGCAAGCGUUAAUCGGAUUUACUGGGCGUAAAGCGCGCGUAGGUGGCCAAUUAAGUCAAAUGUGAAAUCCCCGAGCUUAACUUGGGAAUUGCAUUCGAUACUGGUUGGCUAGAGUAUGGGAGAGGAUGGUAGAAUUCCAUGUGUAGCGGUGAGAUGCGUAGAGAUCUGGAGGAAUACCGAUGGCGAAAGCAGCCAUCUGGCCUAAUACUGACACUGAUGUGCGAAAGCAUGGGGAGCAAA
rnacentral:rRNA from 1 species